rnacentral:rRNA from 1 species
CCCAGCUUGCUGGGUGGAUUAGUGGCGAACGGGUGAGUAACACGUGAGUAACCUGCCCUUAACUCUGGGAUAAGCCUGGGAAACUGGGUCUAAUACCGGAUAGGAGCGCCUACCGCAUGGUGGGUGUUGGAAAGAUUUAUCGGUUUUGGAUGGACUCGCGGCCUAUCAGCUUGUUGGUGAGGUAAUGGCUCAGCAACGCGACGACGGGUAGCCGGCCUGAGAGGGUGACCGGCCACACUGGGACUGAGACACGGCCCAGACUCCUACGGGAGGCAGCAGUGGGGAAUAUUGCACAAUGCGCGCAAGCCUGAUGCAGCGACGCCGCAUGAGGGAUAAACGGCCUUCGGGUUGGUAAACCUCUUUCAGGUACGGAAGAAGCGCAAAGUGACGGUACCUGCCAGAANGAAGCACCCGGCUAAAUUACGUGCCAGCAGCAGCCGGUAAUAAGUAAGGGGCGACCGUUAUCCGGCAAUUAUUNGCGCGUAAAAAAGCUCGUAAGUCGGUUUGUCGCGUCUGUCGUGAAAGUCCAGGGCUUAACCCCGGAUNCUGCGGGAGGUACGGGCAGACUACAGUGCAGUAGGGGAGACUGGAAUUCCUGGUGUAGCGGUGGAAUGCGCAGAUAUCACGAGGAACACCGAUGGCGAAGGCAGGUCUCUGGGGCUGUAACUGACGCUGAGGAGCGAAAGCAUGGCUGAGCGAACAGGAUUAGAUACCCUGGUAGUCCAUGCCGUAAACGUUGGGCACUAGGUGUGGCGGACCAUUCCACGGUUUCCGCGCCGCAGCUAACGCAUUUAAGUGCCCCGCCUGGGGCAGUACAGCCCGCAAGGCUAAAACUCAAAGGAAUUUGACGGGGGNCCCGUCACAAACUGGCAGGAACAUGCCGGAUUAAUUCCGAUGCAACGCGAAAAAACCUUACCUAAGGCUUGAACAUGUUCCUCAAUAGCCGUACAAAUAUCGUGUUUUCCCCUUUGGGGCUGGGUUCACAAGGAGGUGCCAUGCUUUGUCGGCCAGCUCGUGUCCGGGAGAUGCUUGGGUUUAAGUCCCGCAACCGAGCNGCGAACCCUUCGUUUCCAAGUUCCCACGCACCGUAAUGGUGCGGGAACUCAUUGGGUAGACCUGCCCGGGGUUCAACNUCCCAAGGAAAGGUUGAAGGACCAACGUUCAAAUCAUCAUGCCCCCUAUGUCAUGGGCUUCACGCAUGCUACACUGGCCGCUACAAUGGGUUGAGAUACUGUGAGGUGGAGCUAAUCCCAAAAAGCCGGUCUCAGUUCGGAUUGGGGUCUGCAACUCGACCCCAUGAAGUCGGAGUCGCUAGUAAUCGCAGAUCAGCAACGCUGCGGUGAAUACGUUCCCGGGCUUUGUACACACCGCCCGUCAAGUCACGAAAGU